AUUUGAAGUCAGGUUAUCGCUGGUUAUGCUUGCAAAAACAUAACGAGAGGAAAGUCCGGGCUCCUAACCUACAACGGUGCCGGAUAACGUCCGGCGGGUGGUUCUCGAAACCCACUUAGGGAAAGUGCCACAGAAAUUAUACCGCCUUGUUCAAAACAACCUUCGGGCAUCGAUGAAUAAGGUAAGGGUGAAAUGGUGCGGUAAGAGCGCACCGCGCGACUGGUAACAGGCGUGGCAGGGUAAACCCCACCGGGAGCAAGACCAAAUAGGAAUAACGCUCUGUAAAGACAGAUUGUUUGUUAUCUGAGUUAUUCGGGUAGGUCGCUUGAGGUAUACAGUAAUGUAUGCUCUAGAUGAAUGAUAGCCAUGAAGAUAUCGUAAGAUUGUCUUUUACAAAACCCGGCUUAUCGACUUUAUGUUUCG
rnacentral:RNase_P_RNA from 1 species